rnacentral:lncRNA from 1 species
CUCUCAAAAAAAAAAAAAAAACUGUUAGGUAUAUAUUACGGUAUAUAUAUUAAGGCAGACCUGGGUCGGUCUCAUACUGGAAUGCCUAUUAGCUGCAUGAGGGGAAACAGUAACCAGAAAGUAGAGGACUGGACAACAUCUGGACCAAGGGAUCAAAAUUAACAUCAAUAAGUCCUAGAAUCAGGCGUUUCUUUAAGAGGCCCUACUUCCUCUAAUUGGAUAAUUCUAGAAACCGGUAUUUGAAUCUGAGGUUUAACUAAAGAGAAUACCUUCUACUGAUGUAACAGCAAUGGUAAUUGGUAUAAAGGCAAAAGCAUGUGCAAAGGAGAAAUCACAACAAAGGCCACUUAUUGAAAUAAAACCUAUUAAAAAUGUA